GGGGAAUAUUGCACAAUGGGCGCAAGCCUGAUGCAGCCAUGCCGCGUGUAUGAAGAAGGCCUUCGGGUUGUAAAGUACUUUCAGCGGGGAGGAAGGCGAUAAGGUUAAUAACCUUGUCGAUUGACGUUACCCGCAGAAGAAGCACCGGCUAACUACGUGCCAGCAGCCGCGGUAAUACGUAGGUGGCAAGCGUUGUCCGGAUUUAUUGGGCGUAAAGCGCACGCAGGCGGUCUGUCAAGUCGGAAGUGAAAUCCCCGGGCUCAACCUGGGAACUGCAUUCGAAACUGGCAGGCUAGAGUCUUGUAGAGGGGGGUAGAAUUCCAGGUGUAGCGGUGAAAUGCGUAGAGAUCUGGAGGAAUACCGGUGGCGAAGGCGGCCCCCUGGACAAAGACUGACGCUCAGGUGCGAAAGCGUGGGGAGCAAAC
rnacentral:rRNA from 1 species